rnacentral:lncRNA from 1 species
GUCCUCACCAACCAGUCCAUCAAACCAAUGCUUUAUCAGCCCGACACCUCAGGAGGGUUAGCUAAGUGGAUGUCGAGUUAGGAGAAUUUGACGUCAAAAACUUGCCUCAGUCGUCCAUCAAAGCUCAAGCAUUGGCCGACUUCAUUCUAGAGUGCACAUCCCAAAUGAAGAAUAAAAUAAUGAAGAGGCAGCUCCGACGAUCGAUGAAUGUUGGGUUCUCCAUGUAG